rnacentral:rRNA from 1 species
CCUACGGGAGGCAGCAGUAGGGAAUAUUGCACAAUGGGGGAAACCCUGAUGCAGCAACGCCGCGUGGGGGAAGAAGUAAUUCGGUAUGUAAAGUUCUAUUAGCAGGGAAGAAAAUGACGGUAUCUGAGGAAUAAGCCCCGGCUAACUACGUGCCAGCAGCCGCGGUAAUACGGAGGGUGCAAGCGUUAUUCGGAUUUACUGGGUGUAAAGGGAGCGUAGGCGGGAUUGCAAGUCAGGUGUGAAAGGCGAUGGCUUAACCCCCGAACUGCAUUGGAAACUGUAAGUCUAGAGUGUAGGAGAGGUAAGUGGAAUUCUUAGUGUAGGGGUAAAAUGCGUAGAGAUUAAGAGGAAUACUAAUUGCGAAGGCGACCUGCUGGACUGUAACUGACGCUGAGGCGCGAAAGCGUGGGGAGCAAACAGGAUUAGAUACCCUAGUAGUC